AUUGAACGCUGGCGGCAGGCCUAACACAUGCAAGUCGAACGAGUGGCGGACGGGAGUGUAAUGUCUGGGAAACUGCGUGAUGGAGGGGGAUAACUACUGGAAACGGUAGCUAAUACCGCAUACCAUCAGAUGUGCCCAGAUGGGAUUUGCUAGUGGUUGGGGUAACGGCUCACCAGGGCGACGAUCCCUAGCGGGUCUGAGAGGAUGACCAGCCAAACGGGAAUUGAGACACGGUCCAGACUCCUACGGGAGGCAGAAUUGGGGAAUAUUGCACAAUGGGCGAAAGCCUGAUGCAGCCAUGCCGCGUGUAUGAAGAAGGCCUUCGGGUUGUAAAGUACUUUCAGCGGGGAGGCGUUACCCGCAGAAGAAGCACCGGCUAACUCCGUGCCAGCAGCCGCGGUAAUUC
rnacentral:rRNA from 1 species